CCCGCUCCUCCUUGAGGUCCUCCGGUGAUGGAGUCGAUGGUCCCGAUGGGAGGUCGGUCCCCGGGCUGCUCCUCCCUUUUCUGCGGUUCAGGCGGCGGGAGGGCUCUUGGCCGGUCUCCUCUGCCCUCAGGCCUGCGGCGGAUGAAUCUGUCGAGUCGACCUCGCCGAAUGAGCUCAUCGAUCUCGUCCUGGAGCUGGAUGCAUUCCUCCGUGUCGUGGCCGUGGUCGCGGUGGUAGAGGCAGAACUUGUUGGGGUUGCGCUUCCCGGGAUGUGUGCGCAUCCUCUCCGGCCUAGGGAGCUGCUCCCUGACCUCCAUCAGUACCUGGGCCUUUGAGGCGUUGAGGGGGGCGUAGUUGCGGAAUUCCCUGGUGGGGAACCCCGCCGAAACCUGUUGUCCGGGCUUCUCUGCCUGCGUGCCCGGGGUGGAGUGUGGGCGCGCUUAUGUCCAGGAGGGGAUCGGGAGCGAGGCCGGGCUUCCUUUGGCCUCCUCUCAACUGCAGGUUUACUCGAAUCUCCCGCC
rnacentral:lncRNA from 1 species